UACGUAGGGACCAAGCGUUGUUCGGAUUUACUGGGCGUAAAGGGCGCGUAGGCGGCUGAACAAGUCACUUGUGAAAUCUCCGGGCUUAACUCGGAACGGCCAAGUGAAACUGUCAAGCUAGAGUGCAGAAGGGGCAAUCGGAAUUCUUGGUGUAGCGGUGAAAUGCGUAGAUAUCAAGAGGAACACCUGAGGUGAAGACGGGUUGCUGGGCUGACACUGACGCUGAGGCGCGAAAGCCAGGGGAGCAAACGGG
rnacentral:rRNA from 1 species